rnacentral:rRNA from 1 species
AGUGGGGAAUAUUGCACAAUGGGCGCAAGCCUGAUGCAGCCAUGCCGCGUGUAUGAAGAAGGCCUUCGGGUUGUAAAGUACUUUCAGCGGGGAGGAAGGCGACGGGGUUAAUAACCCUGUCGAUUGACGUUACCCGCAGAAGAAGCACCGGCUAACUCCGUGCCAGCAGCCGCGGUAAUACGGAGGGUGCAAGCGUUAAUCGGAAUUACUGGGCGUAAAGCGCACGCAGGCGGUCUGUUAAGUCAGAUGUGAAAUCCCCGGGCUUAACCUGGGAACUGCAUUUGAAACUGGCAGGCUUGAGUCUUGUAGAGGGGGGUAGAAUUCCAGGUGUAGCGGUGAAAUGCGUAGAGAUCUGGAGGAAUACCGGUGGCGAAGGCGGCCCCCUGGACAAAGACUGACGCUCAGGUGCGAAAGCGUGGGGAGCAAA